UCGUAAAGCACUUUCGACCGGGAAGAAACGCUGUUGGCUAACAUCCAGCAGUCUGACGGUACCGGGAGAAGAAGCACCGGCUAACUCUGUGC
rnacentral:rRNA from 1 species